GGAGAGAUCUGGAGGAAGACCGGUGGCAAAGGCAGACCCGGCGAAAAAAAAGGCCGCUAAGGUGCGGAAGGGAGGUGAUGAACAGGGAGAGGAUCCCCUAGUAGUCCACGACGUAAGCGAUAUUGAUUUGGAGGUUGUGCCGUUGAGGCGUGGCUUCCGGAGAUAACGCGUUAAAUCGACCGCCGGGGGAGUACGGGCGCAAGGUUAAAACUCAAAGGAAUGGACGGGGGCCAGCGCACGCGGUGGAGCACGUGGAUUAAUUCGCUGCAACGCGAAGAACCGUACCUGGUCUUGACAUCCACAUAACUUUCCAGAGGAGGAUUGGAGCCUUCGGGUACUGUGAGACAGGUGCUGCAUGGCGGUCGUCCGGUGGAGUAGUUAAGUGUGUGGUUAUGUUCCGCAAGGAGCGCCAUCAUUA
rnacentral:rRNA from 1 species